rnacentral:lncRNA from 1 species
GCGUCCGCUAGAUGGCGCUGCUCCGUGCAUCCCGAUAGGCCCCGCCUGCCGCUGGGCGGGCGCCGGAAGGAUGGGGAAGGACCGGGAAGGACCGGAAGGCCCUGGGGUCGCGGGUUCAGGCCGUAGCGCCGCCUCUGGGGCUGAUUCGGGCCCGCCCUGCGGCUGCGUUCGGCCCUUGGGAGCUAGAGCCACUUUUCAGCUGCCGCUGGCUCCCAUCUCAGCGCUUUUGCACCGAGAGUCGGUGUUUUUGCACGCUUCUCCCAGCGGCCAGCGAUCCCCCUGCGGCCUUGGCAAGAGACCUUUAAAGAUGCAGGUGGAACCCGGAGAAAGCCACGCAGAGAAGCCGGGCCAGUGUUUGACCAACUGUGCCUGGAACUGGGCCAGGGAGAGGAAGUUACAGAGGGUUUGCAAAAUAACUUCCCCUCGCUUCUGAAGGCAG